UGAGUACGAGCUGCUACGGCAGCGAAGUGGGUGACGUCAAGCUUCCAAGAAAAGCCCUACACCCGUUAAGGCAUGAUGGCCUGUACCCGAAACCGACACAGGUAGGAUGGUAGAGAAUACCGAGGGGCGCGAGGUAACUCUCUCUAAGGAACUCGGCAAAAUGGCCCCGUAACUUCGGGAGAAGGGGUGCCACCGCAAGGUGGUCGCAGUGAAGAGGCCCAGGCGACUGUUUACCAAAAACACAGGUCUCCGCUAAGUCGCAAGACGAUGUAUGGGGGCUGACGCCUGCCCAGUGCCGGAAGGUUAAGGAAGCUGGUCAGCGUAAGCGAAGCUAGCGACUGAAGCCCCGGUGAACGGCGGCCGUAACAAUAACGGUCCUAAGGUAGCGAAAUUCCUUGUCGGGUAAGUUCCGACCCGCACGAAAGGCGUAACGAUCUGGGCGCUGUCUCGGAGAGAGGCUCGGCGAAAUAGAAUUGUCUGUGAAGAUGCGGACUACGUGCACCCGGACAGAAAGACCCUAUGAAGCUUUACUGUAGCUUGGCAUUGUGCCGGGCUCUGAAUGCGCAGGAUAGGUGGGAGGCUUUGAUCAGCAGCUUGUGGGUUGUUGUGAGCCAACGGUGAGAUACCACUCUUUCAGAGCUAGGGUUCUAACGGUCACCCGUUAUCCGGGGACCGGACAGUAUCAGGUGGGCAGUUUGACUGGGGCGGUCGCCUCCUAAAAGGUAACGGAGGCGCGCAAAGGUUUGCUCAGGCUGGUUGGAAAUCAGCCGACGAGUGUAAAAGCAGAAGCAAGCUUGACUGUGAGACCUACAAGUCGAACAGGGACGAAAGUCGGCUUUAGUGAUCCGACGGUUCUGAGUGGAAGGGCCGUCGCUCAACGGAUAAAAGUUACUCUAGGAUAACAGGCUGAUCUCCCCCAAGAGUUCACAUCGACGGGGAGGUUUGGCACCUCGAUGUCGGCUCAUCGCAACCUGGGGCUGAAGUCGGUCCCAAGGGUUGGGCUGUUCGCCCAUUAAAGCGGUACGCGAGCUGGGUUCAGAACGUCGUGAGACAGUUCGGUCCAUAUCCGGUGCAUGCGCAGAAUAUUGAGAGGAGUUCUCCCUAGUACGAGAGGACCGGGAGGAACGCACCUCUGGUGUACCAGUUAUCGUGCCAACGGUAAACGCUGGGUAGCCAUGUGCGGAGAGGAUAACCGCUGAAAGCAUCUAAGUGGGAAGCCCACCUCAAGAUGAGUAUUCCCAUGGCAUAAGCCAGUAAGGUCACGGGAAGAACACCCGUUGAUAGGCUCUACGUGGAAGCGCAGCAAUGCGUGAAGCGGA
rnacentral:rRNA from 1 species